rnacentral:rRNA from 1 species
ACAGGUUAAUAUUCCUGUACUUGGUGUUACUGCGAAGAGGACGGAGAAGGCUAUGUUGGCCGGGCGACGGUUGUCCCGGUUUAAGCGUGUAGGCUGGUUUCCAGCAAAUCCGGAAAAUCAAGGCUGAGGCGUGAUGACGAGGCACUACGGUGCUGAAGCAACAAAUGCCCUGCUUCCAGGAAAAGCCUCUAAGCAUCAGGUAACAUCAAAUCGUACCCCAAACCGACACAGGUGGUCAGGUAGAGAAUACCAAGGCGCUUGAGAGAACUCGGGUGAAGGAACUAGGCAAAAUGGUGCCGUAACUUCGGGAGAAGGCACGCUGAUAUGUAGGUGAAGCGACUUGCUCGUGGAGCUGAAAUCAGUCGAAGAUACCAGCUGGCUGCAACUGUUUAUUAAAAACACAGCACUGUGCAAACACGAAAGUGGACGUAUACGGUGUGACGCCUCCCGGUGCCGGAAGGUUAAUUGAUGGGGUUAGCGCAAGCGAAGCUCUUGAUCGAAGCCCCGGUAAACGGCGGCCGUAACUAACGGUCCUAAGGUAGCGAAAUUCCUUGUCGGUAAGUUCCGACCUGCACGAAUGGCGUAAUGAUGGCCAGGCUGUCUCCACCCGAGACUCAGUGAAAUUGAACUCGCUGUGAAGAUGCAGUGUACCCGCGGCAAGACGGAAAGACCCCGUGAACCUUUACUAUAGCUUGACACUGAACAUUGAGCCUUGAUGUGUGGGAUAGGUGGGAGGCUUUGAAGUGUGGACGCCAGUCUGCAUGGAGCCGACCUUGAAAUACCACCCUUUAAUGUUUGAUGUUCUAACGUUGACCCGUAAUCCGGGUUGCGGACAGUGUCUGGUGGUAGUUUGACUGGGGCGGUCUCCUCCUAAAGAGUAACGGAGGAGCACGAAGGUUGGCUAAUCCUGGUCGGACAUCAGGAGGUUAGUGCAAUGGCAUAAGCCAGCUUGACUGCGAGCGUGACGGCGCGAGCAGGUGCGAAAGCAGGUCAUAGUGAUCCGGUGGUUCUGAAUGGAAGGGCCAUCGCUCAACGGAUAAAAGGUACUCGGGGGAUAACAGGCUGAUACCGCCCAAGAGUUCAUAUCGACGGCGGUGUUUGGCACCUCGAUGUCGGCUCAUCACAUCCUGGGGCUGAAGUAGGUCCCAAGGGUAUGGCUGUUCGCCAUUUAAAGUGGUACGCGAGCUGGGUUUAGAACGUCGUGAGACAGUUCGGUCCCUAUCUGCCGUGGGCGCUGGAGAACUGAGGGGCUGCUCCUAGUACGAGAGGACCGAGUGGACGCAUCACUGGUGUUCGGGUUGUCAUGCCAAUGGCACUGCCCGGUAGCUAAAUGCGGAAGAGAUAAGUGCUGAAAGCAUCUAAGCACGAAACUUGCCCCGAGAUGAGUUCUCCCUGACUCCUUGAGAGUCCUGAAGGAACGUUGAAGACGACGACGUUGAUAGGCCGGGUGUGUAAGCGCAGCGAUGCGUUGAGCUAACCGGUACUAAUGAACCGUGAGGCUU